GGUUAGAGUUCCUAUAUGUCAGAAAAAAGUCAAAGAGGAACUCACCAUUGGAGGUGCUCUAAGUCCCCAUUUCCCCCUUUCAUCUAAUCUCAAAAUCGAUUUCAUUGUUUUCAUUCACUGACAGUGAUAAUAAUUUUCGUUUUAGAAGAAGGUGGGUUCAGAAGAAUUAUUCUCGAAUAAGCGUCGAAGGAUCGGAGCUGACAAGAUGGAGAGACAAGGAGCCACUGGAAGCAGGAUAAGGACGCGAUCUUCAUCCGUUAACACCCGCACGGAUGCCGCAAGUGAUGCUAGAAGCGCCGAGCCCUUUGAGUGUGUCACCAUUGAGUACACGAAGGGGGAUGUAGAGGGGUUGGGAUGUAGAGGGGUUGUUCCCCUUCUUCAUCUCCUCAUUCAAAAACGCUUCUACCUCCUCCUUUGUGAAUUCAAUGGUGCCACUCAUCCUGUUCUCUUUACAAAUACUGUGCUAUAUUCUAGAAAAGAUAGUCAUUGAUAAACUGGUCAAAUAUGUCAGGCAAAAGCAAAUUUAAAUCAGGAGUUAUAAGAUCAAAGGAGUACUGUUUGAGUCUGCAGAAGUACAUUGAUCUUCUUCGGUCAGAUCUUGAAGCAGCUAAGGAGGCACAGAAAAAAACUUGAAACAGAGGAAGCGACUCUUAAAUAAGUUUUUUCAGUCUGAUCUUUCUUUCUUUCAUUAGCAGUUCUGCUGUUUUCUGUGCUGGCAUCGUUCUUCAAUCUUCAUGAUGGCACUGGAAUUCAACUUGUACUCUGAUUCCUAACAUGUCAUAAAAUCUUAUUGUGAAAAUAGGAAAUACUUUUGAUUUGGAGCAUUAUGCUGUUACGUGCUUUUCAAUUAUUGGCAUUAGCUUCCAGUUGUUGUUUUCGUAUAGCAUCCUAAAGUUUGUUCACUCUUUUCAUAUUUGGUUUUUCAGGCUUUACAGUGAGAAAGAAGAAUUAGCAAAUGAACUAAAAUGCCUUCGUGAGGAGUUAAAACAAAUCAGAGAUGACCGUGAUUGUCAACAGAAGCAAGUAAAGGAUUUAACAGCAGAAGUAGCAAAGUACAAAGAAAAAUUACAUGAGAUCAGAAAAAUUGGUGAUUCGGUCUUAUGAUUGUACAAAGACAUUAGCUAAAGGAUUUAACAGCAGAAGUAGCAAAGGACAGAGAAAAAUUACCUGUGAUCAGAAAGAUUGUACAAAGACAUUAGCUUAAAGUACAAAGAAUUUACUGGGGAUUGAAUUUUUGCCAGAAACAAAAGAAUACCAAAAAUUUUUAAUUGACAUUGAAAUGUUGCUUCAAAAAUAUAGAAAUAUCUUUUUUAAUAUUGUA